rnacentral:rRNA from 1 species
UGGCGGACGGGUGAGUAAUGUCUGGGGAAACUGCCUGAUGGAGGGGGAUAACUACUGGAAACGGUAGCUAAUACCGCAUAACGUCGCAGACCAAAGAGGGGGACCUUCGGGCCUCUUGCCAUCGGAUGUGCCCAGAUGGGAUUAGCUAGUAGGUGGGGUAACGGCUCACCUAGGCGACGAUCCCUAGCUGGUCUGAGAGGAUGACCAGCCACACUGGAACUGAGACACGGUCCAG